CCAAUAGCGUAUAUUAAAGUUGUUGCAGUUAAAAAGCUCGUAGUUGAAUUUCGGGAUCAAUAUGUCGGUCGUGCCUUCGGUACGUACUGGUAUCAUUGGUCUCUCCUUUCUGACGAACCAUGAUGUCAUUAAUUUGGUGUUAUGGGGAGUUAGGACUGUUACUUUGAAAAAAUUAGAGUGUUUAAAGCAGGCUUUAGCUUGAAUACAUUAGCAUGGAAUAAUGAAAUAGGACGUUCGAACCUAUUUUGUUGGUUUCUAGGAUCAACGUAAUGAUUAAUAGGGAUAGUUGGGGGCAUUAGUAUUCAAUUGUCAGAGGUGAAAUUCUUGGAUUUAUUGAAGACUAACUACUGCGAAAGCAUUUGCCAAGGAUGUUUUCAUUAAUCAAGAACGAAAGUUAGGGGAUCGAAGACGAUCAGAUACCGUCGUAGUCUUAACCAUAAACUAUGCCGACUAGGGAUCGGAUGAUGUUAAUUUUUUAAUGACUCAUUCGGCGCCUUAUG
rnacentral:rRNA from 1 species